UACAGAGGUCCCAAGCGUUGUUCGGAAUUACUGGGCGUAAAGGGCGCGUAGGCGGCGUGUCAAGUCAGGCGUGAAAGCCCCGGGCUCAACCUGGGAACCGCGCUUGAGACUGGCAUGCUCGAGUUCGGGAGAGGAUGGUGGAAUUCCCAGUGUAGAGGUGAAAUUCGUAGAUAUUGGGAAGAACACCGAUGGCGAAGGCGGCCAUCUGGACCGACACUGACGCUGAGGCGCGAAAGCGUGGGGAGCAAACAGG
rnacentral:rRNA from 1 species